rnacentral:ncRNA from 2 species
CUUAUAAUUAUAGCGCCCGAACUAAGCGCCCGAAAAACGGCUUAGUUGACGAGGAUGGAGGUUAUCGAAUUUUCGGCGGAUGCCUCCCGGCUGAUUUAUGUUAGAUCACAGCCGUAAGGAUUUCUUCAAACCGGAGGGGCGACUCUCCGAACAAAGAGAAAUCACAUGAUCUU